rnacentral:misc_RNA from 1 species
AAGUCGUAACAAGGUUUCCGUAGGUGAACCUGCGGAAGGAUCACUAGUGAUUAAACGGAAAGCGUCUUAACUGACCUUUCCACCCUUCACAUCCACAUACACCCUGUGAACCGUUUGGCUCUUUUUUCCGUUUCUCUCUUCGGAGGGAAGGAAGGAGACGAAGAAGGAACGCUUUAGAUUUUCGUCAAAAGAAGUCUAAAGUCGACCUUUGGAGUUUUCCUGAAGGAAAAGGAGUCAUCAAUCAUAUACAUACACGAAGUCUAAUGAAUGUAAACGUUUUAUAUAAACAAAAUAAAACUUUCAACAACGGAUCUCUUGGUUCUC